GCGCUCGUAGUAUAGUGGUAAUAUGCUGGCUUCCCAAGUCAGCGUCCCGGGUUCAAUUCUUUGAAUCAUUUUGAUUCUUAGGGAAAAUCCCGGCGGGCGCA
rnacentral:tRNA from 2 species